UCAAUAAAGUUGCAUGAUUGCAUGACUAGUGUUGUUAAUGAACUUGUAAAGGAUGUAAUAGUUAUAUUUUUUUUCGUGCAAUAUGUUUAGGGUCUUAUACGAAAAAUACAAGAACUUGAGUGUUGACUAGAUCUCAUUCAUGUGUCAAGAAUUGAUUUCAGCAACUACAUUGCAUUUAAGUUCAAAGAACACAGAUGAAGUAUGUGAAUACAUGUCAAGAGUAAUGAAAGAAGCUUCUGAAAACAAUCAAAAGAUCCUAGCCCCAUAUCAUCAGAAUUGAAGAUUUAAAGACGAAUAGGCCUUAUAUUAAUGGACAAAUGCGUGAAGUUUUAACUUGAAGGCUCAAUACAUUUUGGACUUUGUAUUCUCCAAAAGUCUAGUACUUUGUUAGAAAAACUACUAUUACUAGAUAUUAAGACAUUUAUGUAUAAUCGUUACAGGUGCCUACCCUUGUAGUUUUAUUUGUUUUUAUAUAUUUUGAUAUUUUUUACAAUUUAUGACAUAUAUGUUUUAGGAUGA